rnacentral:rRNA from 1 species
AUUGAACGCUGGCGGCAUGCUUUACACAUGCAAGUCGAACGGUAACAGGCUUUCGGGUGCUGCCGAGUGGCGAACGGGUGCGUAAUGCAUCGGAACGUACCCAGAGGUGGGGGAUAACGCAGCGAAAGCUGUGCUAAUACCGCAUGCGAUCUGAGGAUGAAAGCGGGGGACCGAGCAGCAAUGUUUGGCCUCGCGCCUUUGGAGCGGCCGAUGUCGGAUUAGCUAGUUGGUGGGGUAAAGGCCUACCAAGGCGACGAUCCGUAGCUGGUCUGAGAGGACGACCAGCCACACUGGAACUGAGACACGGCCCAGACUCCUACGGGAGGCAGCAGUGGGGAAUUUUGGACAAUGGGCGCAAGCCUGAUCCAGCAAUGCCGCGUGCGGGAAGAAGGCCUUCGGGUUGUAAACCGCUUUUGGCAGGAACGAAACGGUGUCCGCUAAUACCGGGCGCUAAUGACGGUACCUGCAGAAUAAGCACCGGCUAACUACGUG